AUGUGGUUGAGGUUGCAGAGUAACGCCCGCUGAGGGGACAGCAUGGUGCCUGCCGCGACCCGGUGGCCUCUGGAGAACCAGCAGGACUGGGCCUCUCGCAUCCACCCACCUGGCCACGCAGAUGCAGACCUGGAAGACAAGAGUGGAGAAGCCAGCCAGUGAGGGCGAGGGCCGCAGGAAGGACAGCGAGGUGCAGCCGGAUGCAAAUCCCCGGGAACGCAGAAGGGAGGGCAGAGAAUGCGGCUGCGCUCUGGCUCUCCGCAGGGGUUCGGAGCUUGGAAAAGGAGGGGCCCAAGGGACCCCGAUCCUUUCCGCAUCCAUCCGGCCCUGGCCUCCAGCCCACCCGGCGUUCCUGGGGAAGCCGCAGAGACCCCGCCCCGGUGCCCUGAAAUGAAGCAGUAGAGAUCUUGUUCGCUAGCCCCAGGAAGAUGGCCGCGGGCAGCGACGCGGCGUGCUGCUGGACGAGGCCCUGGAGGCGGCUGUAGCUGUCCUCCUCGUACCGCAGGAACGCAGCCGGCAGGUCCAGCUCCUCGUACAGCGCCUUCACCCUGGCCACCUUCUCGGCGUCCUUCUGCCCAUAAUUCUCCUGGAAAGUGGAGAACAAUGGACUCGGCUUCCCCGGCGCCUCCAGGCCUUCUGCGCGCGCUCCUCCUCCACCGCCCCAGGGCUCGGGCCCACCGUCCUCAGGCCAGGGGUCCCCUAGGUGGGCAGCACCGGAAUUCUGGGCCAGGUCAUGGUCUGGGGGAGCUGUUCUGGGUGCUGUUUGGCAGCGCCCUCACCUCUACCCACUAGACACAUUUUAGCACAAGCAUUCACCAAGUUGUGAUGACAAAGUUAUGUCGUCUUUGCCAGACGUCGGCCCCAACUGAGAACCUCUGCUCUACCCCCUUUCUCAUCCCCGCAGAGACCCCAGGCUGCUCCUGGGCACCUGCAGGAUCUGGCGCUGCUCCAGAGUCGCCCGCUGCAGGCACUGAACCACCAGCCAGCUGCAUUUGUUGUCCUGGAUGUCGGUGCCAAUCUUCCCUGUCACACUGGGGUCCCCAAAGAGGUCAAGGAAAUCAUCCUGGGUGGGGUGGGGGCAGCACAGGAAGGAUGAGGGGCUCCAGACAGGCCAAGAGGAGGGCUGCUCCCUGUCCCCUGCCACGCCACUGGGCCUUCCCACCUGGAUCUGGAAGAACUCGCCCAUCUCCGUCAGGAUCCCCCUGGCGCUGCUGUGCUCCUUCUCCCCGUCUAUGCCAGCCUGCAGGGAGGGGAGCGGGCACCACAGGGCCUCAUGUUCCCGGAGCCUGCAGCGGCCUCGCCCUACUGCAGCGCCCAAGGGUCUCUCCUUCCAGGUGUCCUUGCCGACCCAGAUGCAGGAAGCCCGACCAACAGGCCGGCCUCUCCCACUUAUCUCAGCUGGGCUUCAGAACGCCCCCAUCCGGUGUGGGUUCCAGACUGGCCCAUUCUGAGGCCCCUGGGAGCCUCUGUCACCCUGAGCCUUCUUCCUAAGCUUUCUGUCACCUCCAGUGCCUUUCAGGAUGGAAACUCCUUGAAUGCUACCAGCACCGUCAAGCCCCGGAUGUACUUGCCUCCAAUGGCAUUGUACUCUAGGACCUGUAGCCAGGGGAGAGGGACAGGGAGCAGUGACUCAUCCUGCAGCACAGCUGGAAGAGUUGCCAAGGGCCCAGUGCCUAACCAUGCCCUCUGCAUUCUCUGCCCCAUUCAACCCAUCUGCAGAUGAAACGCCUGCCUGCGUUAAAGACAAGGUUCCUCCAGCUGGGCAGAGGAGACCCAGGCUGGGGGGCAUCUCCCCUCCUCCAGUGGCUCCUCCCUCUGCUGCCCUGCUGCCAUCCAGAGCCAACGCAGAGGGAAGAUGUUCUUCCUAGUCCUUAUCCAGUGAAGAGGGACACCCAGGCUCUGAGCUACGCCCCGGGGAGCGGACGAUAACAAGCUGGAACCCGUGGGUGCUAAGGACACAUGGUCUGCAGCACUGGAACGAGCGACCCGGGCCUCACAGGAGAGCGGGGACCGCGCAGGUGAGCUCGGAACCGCUCCGGGCGGAGGGCUCGCAGCAGGAGUUAACUGGGGGACCGGGCAAGUUCCGGGCUUCGUGACAGUACAUGGGCAGAGUUAGGAAGUUUCCUGAAGCACAGAGGGGCCAGCCAGUCCGAUCCACCGACUCCUAGAAAAUCAGGCCCGGCACACAGGCUGGACUCUGCGCCGCACAUACUGCCGAAAAUAAGGCUAGGUCUGGGACCUCUGCAUGUAUCCCCAGCGCUCGACAGCUCUCACCUGUUCAGGACGCAGUUCCAGCCUGGUCCAGAUUGUUGGCUGGGUAAGACUAAGAAACGCGCUCGGCGCUGGGCCCUCUGGGUCGGGUAGUUCUCGGUUCCCCCUAGGUGGCGGCAGGAAUAUGGACCAUUAGACUACGACUCCCGGCGUUCCCUGGACGGGGGCGGGACGACUCGAACUAGCGCGGCUGGCGCGGCGGAGACCGGCAGCGCUGACUGGCUACUUAUCCUCGUGUGAGCAUGGGGCCCUGUGACGCACGACCAAUGGGAGGGCUGCUCGCCGGGCGACGGGCCGGGAGACGCACGCCUGGGAGGGUCUCACUACAGCUGAUCUCAAACUUGUGAUCCUCCUGCAUUAGCCCCCCAGAGAACUGGGAUUUCAGGGAUGGAUUUCAGGGAGUCCAAGACAAAUGGUGAGGACACCGAGUGCUCUCAAGAGGAAGGAAGGAGAUGAAGUGGUCUAAAAGAGGUUGCUGCUAAGGCGAGUGGAAAGCGGUCCUGACUGCUGUGUAUUGUACCAUGCUGCUGACUGCAUAAAAAAGGAAGACUGUACAUCGUUUCUGUGUGUUUGUUUGGUUUUGGGUACUGGGAUUGAACUCAAAACUUUGUGCUCCCAAGGCAGGCACAGUGCCUCUGAGCUAAAUCCCUGACCCCAUCGUUUGUACCUGAUGGAAAUAUCACGGAGGGUGCAUAGAAAAUUCAGAACCAAUGGGCUGGGGAUUUAGCUCAGUGGUUUCUGAAGGACCCUAGUUAGCAAGACAGACUCCAUAUUGCUGCUUGACCCACCUGCUUGCCCUUUAGAUGAACUCAGAAGGAGGAAGCUUAGAAACCUCCUCCCCUUAGAAAGUCUCUUUAGAAACAAUUAAUCAACU